CCCACAUUGCUCAAAUACUGCGUCUUUCCCCACCUAAUUUUGAAGCCUGUGGAAGUAGUAGAGUGUCCCUUCGGGGACAUCCGAUAAAAUUGGAACGAUACAGAGAAGAUUAGCAUGGCCCCUGCGCAAGGAUGACACGCAUAAAUCGAGAAAUGGUCCAAAUUUUUUUUGAGAAUUUUCAGUCUUCAGGUUUUGUGGAUGGAAAGUUGAUUUUUGCGGGAUGGAAGUGUUUUAGGGUUUACUUGAGGUUGGUGUGAUGUAUUCAUUACGGUGAACCAAAGGAGGAUUAUGCCUUGCGGCUGGAGCUGGAGGGGUGAAAACCUUGUUAACAAUUUCAGAUUUCUUGGUUUUCGAUCAUCUUUGACAGUCGUGAGAUCAGGCUAGAUAGGGAUUUUCUCUGUCUCCACCAAGUAAUGCCUUAAAAGACCAAAUGCUUCCUUGCUACUUAAAUUGUAAUGAGCAACCUGAGACUCCACUCUCAUAUUGUUAAGAGCACGAAAUGCGAACUGGUUUGAUGCUGUGGCAGUGUCCGUC